AGAAACACAUAUAUAUCAUCUUCUUCCUCAAACUAACAUUUUUCAUUUUUCACUUCUCAACCUCAAGCUUCAAUCUCAUCCAUCAUUAAUCAUCUAGAUCAUCUCAUAAACUCAAAUCCAUCAUCAUAUAACUCAAGCCAAGUACAAGAAAAUAAACAACAAAAUUCGUAGGGUUUCAAGCUCUUAAUUUUCGAAAGUUUCAAAAAAUAAGUUGGGUGAUUUCCUUGCUCAAUCAUGAUCAUAUACUCACUCACAUAUCAUUAAUAUGAUCAAAUAAAUAAUCUAAGAUCACUUACUCAAGGAUUUAAAAGGUGAUCAAGACUUUGCUCCAACUUUGAUCUUAGCUCUAGCUUCUUGAAUUUGAUGAGAUAUGAUAGCAUUUGAUUGGAUUGGAUGGUGGAUUAUCUCAUAGUAGUGUUUGAUGAAGCUUCUCUAAGCUUUCUUCAAUGGACAUCAAUGGAGGAAAAGAGAGUAUAGAGAGAGAUUGAGUGAGAGCCGAGAGUGAAGUGUGAGGAAGAAAAUGAAGUGUGCUUUGUCUUGCUAAGUGUAAUAUUGAUAAGUGUAAUAUGGAAUGUAGUGGUGGGGAGGUAGGAGUAGUGGUGGGGGAAAAAGAGUGUAGUGGUGGAAGAGUAGGUGGAUGUGGAAGAGUAGGUGGAUAAAUUAGGUGGAGAAAUUAGGUGAAUAAAUAAAAUAUAAUAAAAUAAAGUCUUCCGGGUUGUAUUAUGAAAACUGUAAUAAUCGUUCAGGGUUUGCUUAAAUAAAAGCUCGUGAAAAUGCUUUGAAUGCUAAAUUAAAUAAAUAUGCGACGCACAUAAAUUUAAUAACUAAAUUUAUAAAUGUUUUUUUUUUAAAACACUUUUGUUGGAAUUAAAAUAAAUUCAUUUUCUUUAUAUCCGGCGUGAAUCAUCCUGACUUCUAAGUUCAAAA
rnacentral:lncRNA from 1 species